rnacentral:rRNA from 1 species
GUAGGGGGCGAGCGUUGUCCGGAAUUAUUGGGCGUAAAGAGCUCGUAGGCGGUUUGGUAAGUCGAAUGUGAAAACUCAGGGCUUAACCCUGAGAGGCCAUCCGAUACUGCCAUGACUUGAGUCAGGUAGAGGAGUGUGGAAUUUCUGGUGUAGCGGUGAGAUGCGCAGAUAUCAGAAGGAACACCAACGGCGAAGGCAGCACUCUGGGCCGGUACUGACGCUGAGGAGCGAAAGCGUGGGGGGGAGCAAACAGGAUUAGAUACCCUGGUAGUCCACGCCGUAAACGCUGGGCACUAGGUGUGGGACCUUAUCAACGGGUUCCGUGCCGUAGCUAACGCAUUAAGUGCCCCCGCCUGGGAGUACGGCCGCAAGGCUA